rnacentral:lncRNA from 1 species
GUACGUUCUACAAUAGCCUUAGCUUUCAUGAUUUCAACUCCAAUCAAUUCCAGCCAUUCAUAUUGAGCUGAAUCUCCCGGUAAUUUGCAAGCAUUGCAAAACCAGUCACAAAUAUCACAAGGAGGGUACUUCGCAUCAGCCAUAGGUUGAGAAAGAAAUAGAAAACCUAAAGAAAAAAGGAUUAUUAUUUUCUCCAUCUUUUGUGAUGUUUCUCAAAUAGAGAAGAAACUUCAGCUUUUAUACGGAUGUAAGUAUUAAGAAUUCGUGCCCUACUGAUUUUCUUAUUUUCGCCUAACUUUUGCUUAUCGAUGGAAUGUGUUGCCUGACGUGUUCCACUGACGUGUUUCAAGGAAGCAGUAAACAGAAAGUAAAGAACACAAUGAUUUUUACGUGGAAAACACCCGGCUCAAAAGGUGUAAAAAAACCACGACCUGCACCUCUACAGGAUUUAACCCCAACUUCACUAAAUAACUCUGAGCCUCAACAACGGCUGAUUGCAAAACUCUUGUAACCAACAAAAUAGGAAUUAUAAACUCUAAUCCCUAUAACUCAACAACUAGGAAUUAUAAACUCUAAUCCUUAUAACUCAACAACUAGGAAUCAUAAACUCUAAUUCCUAACUACACACGCACCUCCCAAGGUAAGUGUUCCCAAAGUCUCUGAGUUUUCCCCAACUCUAAGACUAGCUCCUAAUUCAGUUUAUAACACACUGAAACUAAUAUUACAUGAAUAGCUCAAACACAAUGAAUAACUCUAAAAAUCAAAGCUAAAACUCUUAGCUGUAUUCUGCACGUAGGACCAGGUUCUUCAAUGUGUUUCUUCAGUGGUUGAGUAGCACUUUCGUGAUUUCAAUUUGUAGAUUGUACUUUUCUGCUUUGU